rnacentral:rRNA from 1 species
UACGAAGGGGGCUAGCGUUGUUCGGAAUUACUGGGCGUAAAGCGCGCGCAGGCGGCCAUUCAAGUCAGGGGUGAAAGCCCAGAGCUCAACUCUGGAACUGCCCUUGAAACUGCAUGGCUUGAGUACGAGAGAGGUGAGUGGAAUUCCCAGUGUAGAGGUGAAAUUCAUAGAUAUUGGGAAGAACACCGGUGGCGAAGGCGGCUCACUGGCUCGUUACUGACGCUCAGGCGCGACAGCGUGGGGAUCAAACAGG